rnacentral:rRNA from 1 species
AAUGAACGUUGGCGGCGUGGAUUAGGCAUGCAAGUCGCGCGAGAAGUCAUUUAGCUUGCUAAAAGACGGACAGCGGCGGAAGGGAGAGUAACGCGUGGUUAUGUACCCUCGAGACCGGGAUAGUGUCGGGAAACUGGCAGUGAUACCGGACAACAUCUUCGGAUCAAAUGGUGUGAUUCCGCUCGAGGAUCGGACCGCGUACUAUUAGCUAGUUGGAGGGGUAAUGGCCCACCAAGGCUUAGAUGGUUACCGGGUGUGAGAGCAUGGCCCGGCCCACUGGGACUGAGACACUGCCCAGACAUCUACGGAUGGGUGCAGGCGAGAAUCUUCGGCAAUGGACGAAAGUCUGACCGAGCGACGCCGCGUGCGGGAUGAAGGCCUUCGGGUUGUAAACCGCUGUCAGUUAGGAGGAAAUCCAUGAGGGUUCUCUCUCAUGGUUGACCGAUUUUCAGAGGAAGGACGGGCUAAGUUCGUGCCAGCAGCCGCCGUAAGAC